AUCAUUUGACGUUAGCGACAGAAGAAGCACCGGCUAACUCCGUGCCAGCAGCCGCGGUAAUACGGAGGGUGCGAGCGUUAAUCGGAAUUACUGGGCGUAAAGCGCAUGCAGGUGGUUUGUUAAGUCAGAUGUGAAAGCCCGGGGCUCAACCUCGGAAUAGCAUUUGAAACUGGCAGACUAGAGUACUGUAGAGGGGGGUAGAAUUUCAGGUGUAGCGGUGAAAUGCGUAGAGAUCUGAAGGAAUACCGGUGGCGAAGGCGGCCCCCUGGACAGAUACUGACACUCAGAUGCGAAAGCGUGGGGAGCAAACAGGAUUAGAUACCCUGGUAGUCCACGCCGUAAACGAUGUCUACUUGGAGGUUGUGGCCUUGAGCCGUGGCUUUCGGAGCUAACGCGUUAAGUAGACCGCCUGGGGAGUACGGUCGCAAGAUUAAAACUCAAAUGAAUUGACGGGGGCCCGCACAAGCGGUGGAGCAUGUGGUUUAAUUCGAUGCAACGCGAAGAACCUUACCUACUCUUGACAUCCAGAGAACUUUCCAGAGAUGGAUUGGUGCCUUCGGGAACUCUGAGACAGGUGCUGCAUGGCUGUCGUCAGCUCGUGUUGUGAAAUGUUGGGUUAAGUCCCGCAACGAGCGCAACCCUUAUCCUUGUUUGCCAGCGAGUAAUGUCGGGAACUCCAGGGAGACUGCCGGUGAUAAACCGGAGGAAGGUGGGGACGACGUCAAGUCAUCAUGGCCCUUACGAGUAGGGCUACACACGUGCUACAAUGGCGCAUACAGAGGGCGGCCAACUUGCGAAAGUGAGCGAAUCCCAAAAAGUGCGUCGUAGUCCGGAUUGGAGUCUGCAACUCGACUCCAUGAAGUCGGAAUCGCUAGUAAUCGUGGAUCAGAAUGCCACGGUGA
rnacentral:rRNA from 1 species